rnacentral:rRNA from 1 species
UGGGAGCAUGGGACGUAGCUGGAGGUUUGGUCGCGAUGGAUGAACGCUGGCGGGAUGCUUUACACAUGCAAGUCGAACGGCAGCACGGACUUCGGUCUGGUGGCGAGUGGCGAACAGGUGAGUAAUGUAUCAGGUGGGCGAUGCCCUAGUAGCGGGGAUAACUACGCGAAAGCGUAGCUAAUACCACCAUCGCCCUUCGGGGGAAAGCGGGGGACCUUCGGGCCUCGCACUAUUAGAGCGGCCGAUAUCGGAUUAGCCCCAGUUGGUGGGGUAACGGCUCACCAAGGCGACGAUCCGUAGCUGGUUUGAGAGGACGACCAGCCAACUCUGGGACUGAGACACGGCCCAGACUCCUACGGGAGGCAGCAGUGGGGAAUUUGGACAAUGGGGAAACCCUGAUCCAGCCAUCCCGCGUGUGCGAUGAAGGCCUUCGGGUUGUAAAGCACUUUUUUGGCAGGAAAGAAACGGCACGGGAUAAUACCCCGUGCAACUGACGGUACCUGCAGAAUAAGCACCGGCUAACUACGUGCCAGCAGCCGCGGUAAUACGUAGGGUGCAAGCGUUAAUCGGAAUUACUGGGCGUAAAGCCGAUGCGCAGGCGGUUCGGAAAGAAGAUGUGAAAUCCCAAGGCUUAACUUUGGAACUGCAUUUUUAACUACCGAGCUAGAGUGUGUCAGAGGGAGGUGGAAUUCCGCGUGUAGCAAUUAGUGCGUAGAUAUGCGGAGGAACACCGAUGGCGAAGGCAGCCUCCUGGGAUAACACUGACGCUCAUGCACAGCGAUGGGAGCAAACAGGAUUAGAUACCCUGGUAGUCCACGCCCUCGACGAUGUCAGCAGCUGUGGGGCCUUCGAGGCCUUGGUAGCGCAGCUAACAUGAAGAUUGAACACAGAUGCUGAUAUGGAAGAUUAAAACUCAAGAUUGACGGGGACCACUGCGGCGGUGGAUGAUGGACUGUUCGAUGCAACGCGAAAAACCACCUACCCUUGACAUGUCUGGAAUCCCGAAGAGAUCUGGGAGUGCUCGCAAGAGAACCGGAACACAGGUGCUGCCAAGCUGCUCAAUCGACUCGUGUCUGUGUUGAUGUUGGUUAAGUCCGCAACAGGAGCGCAACCCUUGUCGUGGAUUGCCUGGGCACUCGGCGGACUGCCGGUGACAAACCGGAGGAAGGUGGGGAUGACGUCAAGUCCUCAUGGCCCUUAUGGGUAGGGCUUCACCCACGUCAUACAAUGGUCGGGACGGGGGUCGCCAACCCGCGAGGAGCCAAAUCAGAGAGCCCGAUCGUAGUCCGGAUGAAGUCUGCAACUCGACUGCGUGAAGUCGGAAUCGCUAGUAAUCGCGGAUCAGCAUGUCGCGGUGCGAUGCGUUCCCGGGUCUUGUACACACCGCCCGUCGCAUGGAAUUGGGUUUACCAGAAGUAGUUAGCCUAACCGUAAGGAGGGCGAUUACCACGGCGGAUUCAUGACUGGGGUGAAGUCGUAACAAGGUAG